AUUGCAGUGGUGCAAUAAGGAAUCGACAGAAGUCUUGGACAUGGAGCGUGCUUUGUGUUGUUUGCUGACUUUAAGCUGCCUAAUCAAACUUUAUUCUAAGUUUUAUCUUUAUUGGAGCCUGCAACACUCAGUUUGGCAGCCAUGGAUCAAGAGAGAGAGAGGAAUUUGAGAAAAACGGUUUUAGAGAGAGAAAAUGAAGAAACUGGUAAAAGAGAGACCAUUGCAGCUUCCUUAGAAAGCAUGUGGCGAGUUUCCCCAGGCCACUGUUCUCGUGUUUAUUAUGUUCCUGCUGUGGCAAUUGAGGGUAGGUGACAAUGGAAAAUAUGAUAAAUCUCUCUCUCUCUUUCUCUAAUUUUUCCAUUUCCUGAAAUAAUCACCGGAAUCUGUGUGUCCUGGACUCCUUAACUAUUUCAGCACAAUUAGCGACAAGAAGAAAUAAAAAGGUCAGGGGCCGGCUCUGCGCGCGCCCUUAUAGGUGCUGCAAAGGUUAGCUUUUUCAUGUCUUCCAUAUGUAUACAUACUCUCUCUCUCUCCAUGGCUUUCCAUAUUUAUUCUCUCUACCCACGUGAGUCUUCGUCACCUAUCUGAAAAAUCCAUGGCAAUAUUCUACUGCUUCACUUCUUUUCUCUCACCUGAUCAGUGUCGGGUUCCAGUCAUGGAUGCUACUCAUAUUUGAUCUACAUCAAUACUACUAUUUAAUUAUUAGGAAAGCCCUGUCCCAAGUAGAUCUACAUUACAUCUCUCUCUAGAAUUUAGUUAAGAAAAUCAUAUACUAAGUACAGUGAUCUAAGUACCGACUCUAAAAUACGAAAUGCUCCGUUUGUAGCUGAAAAUUAUAAAGAAAGUUAACCAACUCAAUUUUUUUUUUCAAAAUUGUCCCUCCUUUUUAAUUUUUAGCAUUUUGUUAGUAGGAAUCGACCCUUGAGUUAGAGGUACUGCCCUAUUAAUGAAAAACUAGAAAAAAAAGAAAGGAAGAAAUUUGGACCGAGUAUUCCAUUCAAAUCAAAAGAUAAGUUUGAAAAAAAUAAAAAAGACAAUUUACCGACCUAUUUUUGUAAAUUACCCUAUAAACGGAACAUUUCAUAUAUUUUUUUAAAAAAAUAAAAUCAGUACGUAAAUCACUCUAUUAAAGUAUUUUUUUGAAAGAAAAAGUCAUAUACUAAGUAGAUCUCUCUCUCAUUUUCCUAAUUUCUUAUUUCACUUUAAGAACCCAAGCACAGUUACUUUAGAAGAUGAAAGAGAGAGAAGAGAGAAGUUUAGAGUGAGAGAAAGAGAGUAGGGGAGUGUGUGGCCUGCAAUGUGACAGAAUGAACAGCUUCCCUUGUUCGUAGAAGUUGCGACCUCCUCCACGUAAGCUCAGCUUCAUUACAUGCACGUGCAGAGAGAGAGAGAGAGAGAGCAUGAAGCAGGGGGGAAGCAGCUUUUACUUUUCCCAACUUGGCUCAUAUAAUGAGGAGAUUGUGAGAGAGGAGAGGAGCAGGGGUUGUCUAUUUAGAGGUGCUUCAUCACUCACUCAUCUCCGUUCCAUUCUUAUAUGCUUCAUCAUCACUAUUUUUGGAAUCUUAAAUUGAAUAAUUUGGAGCAACAAUAGAUUUUCAAAUCAUCUCAAGGUUUACCGGCUUCCUAACUCUAUUUUGGCGUAAUUUUGAAGUACAUCUUACUUUAAGUGUCGUUUGGGAAUCAGUAAAUCAAUUAUAUAAAAAUAAAUUACACAAAAAUAUGACACUUAAUGAUAAGGAAAUAUAAAAAUAUUAUCUUAGAUUUCUUAAAAAAAUCAGUAUAUAUCUAAUAUCAUUAAAUAUAAAAAUAUUAUCUUAGAUUUCCUAAAAAAAUCAGUAUAUAUCUAAUAGAGGGUCCCAUGAAGGGUGAAAAAUCUAUUAGACCGUUUCACAGACAAUCAGGAGAAAUCUUUCGGGUACUUUAACCGCCAUAAUACGGUAGCCCCAUCUUCCGUAACCAACUCCCUUUCAAUUUAAUAAACCAUAAAAAUAACCAAUAUCUCUUUUUGCCAACCGAAUCAAACAAAUAUUUAAACCUCAAAAAUCACCUCAUCUUCUUCAACUAUGAGCUAAAACCCCACAACCUCAUCUUCUUCAACGAGUACCUAAAACACCGUAGUACUAUCUUUUGACACCACACUUGGUGCUAAAACACUGUAGUCCUAUCUUCUGU
rnacentral:lncRNA from 1 species